GGAGUAAUGGCUGCUAGUUGGCUCUGGUUGGGGGGGAGAUUAUACCAUUUGAGUCUUAUUUUAUUCUCAUUUAAUUCUUCAGGUCCCCGAGGUGAAGCUCUGCAGCAUGGCCAGUCUGGGACACUGCCUCACUUCCUGGAGGAGCCUGUUGAUGCUUACAUCAUCAAGAGUAACCCCAUCAAACUCCGGUGUCAAGCUCGGCCUGCUCUUCAAAUCUUCUUCAAGUGCAACGGCGAAUGGGUCCACCAGAGCCAGCACAUGUCGCAGGAGCACACCGACAUGGGGACAGGGCUGAAGAUCCGCGAGGUGAUGAUCAACGUGUCACGUCAGCAGGUGGAGGACUUUCAUGGACCCGAGGAUUACUGGUGUCUGUGUGUCGCCUGGAGUCACCUGGGAACCUCCAAGAGCCGCAAGGCAACUGUCCGGAUCGCCUACCUGAGGAAGAACUUUGAGCAGGACCCCCAAGGCACUGAGGUGCCUCUGAAUGGCAUGAUUGUGUUGCACUGUCGUCCCCCAGAGGGAGUGCCUGUGGCUGAGGUGGAAUGGCUGAAAAAUGAAGAACCUCUUAACUCUGACGGUGCCAUUGAUACAAGAGGCGACCAUAAUCUCAUCAUCUCUGAAGCCCGUCUCUCUGAUUCCGGAAACUAUACCUGUGUUGCCAGCAACAUUGUGGCCAAGAGACGCAGUGCCACUGCCACUGUUGUAGUUUAUGUGGAUGGCGGCUGGGGAGAGUGGAGCGAGUGGUCAGUGUGUAGUUCAGACUGUGAGAGGCAGCGCGGCAGAGAGUGUACAGCUCCGGAGCCCAAACAUGGAGGGCGGCUGUGUGACGGGGUGGCACUGGCUACAGACAACUGCACCGGCGGCCUCUGCACACAGAGUGUGGAGAACAGCAGCGAUGUGGCCUUGUAUUCAGGCCUUGCUGCGGGGGUGGUGACAGUGGUGCUGCUGAUCAUCGCUGUCACUCUUUACCGAAGGAGCCAGAGUGAGUACGGUGUGGAUGUCAUCGACUCCUCCGCCCUCACUGGGGGCUUCCAAUCCUUCAGCUUCAAGACCUCUCGUCAAGCAAACCCCCUGCUAAUUAAUUCAUCCAUGCAACCUGAUCUGACAGUGUCGCGUACCUACACCAGCCCCAUGUGUUUUCAGGACUCUAUUGACAAGGAGCUGAUGGCCGAGCGCUCACUCCUUGACCCAUUGCCCGAUCUCCAAGUCAAAGGUCAGUGUUAUUUCAUUGUAUCUCUAGGUGUGGCAGAAAGGGCGGAGUACCUUGUCAUGUCCCACCCUCAGACAUUUCCAAGGGGCCUGGCUCCAGACUAUAGAGGGGUCGCAGUUGGGACGACGCUGGGCAGAAGAGGCAAAAACCUUUUCACUCCGCAAGUGUCUUUGACUCCCUGCAAGCCUCUCCACAAAGCAACUGCGGUGUUUGGUCAUGCUGGAGGCAGGCUGGUGGUGCCUAACACAGGUAUCAGUCUGUUGGUGCCUCAUGGGGGGAUCGCGGAAGACACUACCUGGGAAAUGUAUAUGAUCAUCAACCAGGAGGACAGCAGCACUGUGUCCGAGGACGGGCCAGAGAUCUUCUUGAGCCCUACUGUCACGUACGGCCCACCAGGCCUUGACCUGUCCUGUCCCAUAGCCAUGACCAUAGCCCAUUGUGCGGAGGUGGCGGCUGAUAAUUGGACCAUCCGGCUAAAGAGACAAAUGCAGGACAACAAGUGGGAGGAAGUGAUGUCUGUGGACGAGGAGAGCACGUCCUGCUACUGUCUGCUAGACGCCCAGAGGUGCCAUGUGCUAUUGGAGCAUCCGGGUCGCUACGCCCUGGUGGGGGAGCCACUGAACCAGGAGGCGGCCAAGCGGCUGAGGCUGGCUGUGUUUGGAAGUCCGGAUAACUGCAACUCUCUGGGCUUCACCCUCAGGGUCUACUGUGUGGACGACACGCCUCAUGCAUUUCAGGAGGUGGCGGUGGGCGAGCGCAGCAGGGGCGGGCGGCUGCUGGAGGAGCCUAAAAUGAUGCUGUUUCGGGGGAACACUUUCAGUCUCCAGGUGUCCAUCCAGGACAUCCCACAGUUACUCUGGAGCAUCAAGCCUUUCACCACCUGCCAGGAGUUCUCCUUUUCUCAGGUGUGGGCCAGUAACCAGCGUCCCCUGCAGUGUGCCUUCUCUUUGGAGCGAUACAACCACUCCUCGUCUCAGCUCUCCUGCAAGAUCGGCAUCCGCCAAGUCAAAGGCGAGGAGCAGAUUCUCCAGGUCUAUACGUCUGUGGUGGAGAAUGAAAAGGGAGUGGUUCCCUUUUUCACUCAGUCAGACUGCACCAUCACCUCUCAGACAGGGUCAAGGGCCUUUAAAAUCCCUGUGUCCAUCCGUCAGCGGAUCAGUGCCACCUUUGACACCGCUAACGCCAACGGGAAGGACUGGCAGCUUUUGGCUCAAAAGCUCCACAUAGACAGGAACCUUUGCUACUUUGCAUGUCAGGAGAGCCCAUCAUCAGUGAUUCUGAGUCUGUGGGAAGCCCAGCACCAGGACUCGGGGGACCUGGACUCUCUGGCCAGUGCUCUUGAGGAAAUCGGCAAAGUCCAGUCCCCCAGGACCGCCACUCUUGGCUGCAGCAGAGAAGAACGGGACUCAGAAUUCACUUAA
ensembl:lncRNA